UUCCCCUAAAAAAAUAAUAGGAAAAAUACUAACGAAGCUGUGUCAACUGCUCCGGUGAAGAUUCUGCAAUGAACAAAAACUUAUCGCUUGUAGAAAAUUCAUCGAGGACAAAGCAGAAAAGUUCCGUGUGUUUAUUUUGAAAAUAAGCCCAUUUGGACCGAAAGCAUCGAUUGCUAUGUGUAGGAACUAGAAAAAGGAGGAAUACUGGGGCGGAGUCCAGCGGUGAAUCGACAAAUGGUGAUGAACCACAAACUUCACCGUCUCGAAAGACUGUAACCAAGUUAGUGACGACUCGACAUACCAAUAUGAAAGAAUCCCACAGCUCAAAUCUAACGAAGACUGUAUUUUACAUUCUGACAUGUGAGAUGGACUGGACCAAGCUGGAACAGAGAGUUUGGUCGGCGCAGAGAGGUGAUUCUGGUGUUUCGCACAUUUUAUAUUAUAUGUGGUACUUAAAACAUUGAAUGAGAUAACAGAACUCA